rnacentral:rRNA from 1 species
GGGGAAUUUUGGACAAUGGGCGCAAGCCUGAUCCAGCCAUGCCGCGUGAGUGAAGAAGGCCUUCGGAUUGUAAAGCACUUUAAGUUGGGAGGAAGGGUUGUAGAUUAAUACUCUGCAAUUUUGACGUUACCGACAGAAUAAGCACCGGCUAACUUCGUGCCAGCAGCCGCGGUAAUACGAAGGGUGCAAGCGUUACUCGGAAUUACUGGGUGUAAAGCGUGCGUAGGUGGUGGUUUAAGUCCGUUGUGAAAGCCCUGGGCUCAACCUGGGAACUGCAGUGGAUACUGGAUCACUAGAGUGUGGCAGAGGGUAGUGGAAUUCCCGGUGUAGCAGUGAAAUGCGUAGAGAUCGGGAGGAACAUCAGUGGCGAAGGCGACUGCCUGGGCCAACACUGACACUGAGGCACGAAAGCGUGGGGAGCAAACA